rnacentral:lncRNA from 13 species
UUUCCGCUCUCCGUAGACCCCGGAGCACUACCUGAGCAGCACCUAAUGUAGCACAGAAAAUAUAUGGAUCCCAUAAACGAGCGGUCUUUUUGAGUCCAAUCACAGCUACUUUGUGGAACUAAAGAAGGGGGACUGGUCAAUAUCAAAGACUAGGCACCUGUCUGCAAAGAAAAGACAGUUGCCAGUAGCCUCCAGAGCAAGCCCAGAAAUUUCAUAGAAACCUCUGGAGGAAUUCCUUGGAAGACAUAAAGCCAAGUGAGGCUGGAGUGCAAUGGAGUGAUCUCGGCUCACUGCACCCUCUGCCUCUGGGGUUCAAG